AACCAACCUUCUAUGUUACGUUUCUUCUUCGAACUAACUAAAAUACCUACACCUUAUAUUACAGAAUUUCAAUUUAAUUAAAGUUCCUCUAGCUCAAAAUGUCUUCAAGAACAGAAGCCCGCAAAGCAAGACAACUGAGUAUUGUACAGAAUCCAAUGACAUAUUUCGCUGAAGAAAAAGAGAACCUUGAAAAUUACUUGAACAAAUUUGCACAAAAGAUCAUAAGUGAAGCUAAUCAAUGGAUAGAAAACUCUAUCGGAAGGGAAAUAACA